GUCCCUGUAGCGCAAUGGAUAGCGCAUUGAACUUUUAAUCCAAAGGUCGUAGGUUCAAAUCCCACCUGAGACG